rnacentral:tRNA from 1 species
UGGAGUAUAACUCAGUGAUAAAGUACCUGCCUAGCAUGUCUGAGGCUCUGGGUUCAAUUCCCAGUGUUACAA